AUACGUAGGUGGCAAGCGUUGUCCGGAAUUAUUGGGCGUAAAGCGCGCGCAGGUGGUUCCUUAAGUCUGAUGUGAAAGCCCCCGGCUCAACCGGGGAGGGUCAUUGGAAACUGGGGAACUUGAGUGCAGAAGAGGAUAGUGGAAUUCCAAGUGUAGCGGUGAAAUGCGUAGAGAUUUGGAGGAACACCAGUGGCGAAGGCGACUGUCUGGUCUGUAACUGACACUGAGGCGCGAAAGCUUGGGGAGCAAACAGGAUUAGAUACCCUGGUAGUCCACGCCGUAAACGAUGAGUGCUAAGUGUUGGGGGGUUUCCGCCCCUCAGUGCUGCAGCUAACGCAUUAAGCACUCCGCCUGGGGAGUACGGUCGCAAGACUGAAACUCAAAUGAAUUGACGGGG
rnacentral:rRNA from 1 species